AUGGUGGUCAUGGAGUAUAUUCCUAAAGGAAAUCUGAGCAACAUACUUCACCACCAUAGUAGUCCCAUCGCUUUGGAUACACGGCUAAGAAUUGCCAUUGAAUGUGCAGAAGCAUUGGGCUAUAUGCAUUCACAAAUGUAUACUCAGGUCAUUCAUGGUGAUAUCAAGCCUGCUAAUAUACUUCUGGAUGAUGGACUCAGCGCAAAAAUAUCAGACUUUGGAAUAUCAAGACUACUCAACACCGAAAGUACUCUAUAUACUCUAAAUGUGAUAGGAAGUAUAGGCUAUAUGGACCCUCUGUUUGCUCAGAAUGGCCGCCUCACAGCAAAGAGUGAUGUGUAUAGUUUUGGUGUUGUGCUCCUAGAACUGAUAACGAGAAAAAAAGCAAGAACAGAUGAUGGUGAGAUUGGCUUGGUUGAAAGCUUUAUUCAAUCCCUUUCAAAAGGGUUUAGGAGGGUGCGGGAGAUGUUUGAUCCUGAAAUUGCAACACCGAGUAACAUGAAGACUAUCCAAGAGAUUGUUAAAUUGGUAGGUAAAUGCUUGAGGAUGGAACUCCACAAACGCCCUGAGAUGUUAGAAGUUGCAGAACGUCUUCAAAAACUUAGAAAGGCUCCACAUCAGGUACAACAAAGACUAGCUCUAUUUUCUUGGGGAAAGAAAAAUAAACAAGUUCCAGCCGAAACACCAUUGCUGGAAAGCAGCAGCAGUACCCGAAAUGUGGGAACUUUUAUCGAGCUGGACGACCUGCUUCGGGCAUCGGCUGAAGUUCUGGGCAAAGGUACAGUCGGGACAACAUACAAAGCGACGCUU
rnacentral:rRNA from 1 species